rnacentral:rRNA from 1 species
CAUCGCCUUUUGCAUCCAUAAGAGGUCCAGCCUGCCCAGUGACCCAGUUUAACGGCCGCGGUAUCCUAACCGUGCGAAGGUAGCGUAAUCACUUGUUUUCUAAAUAAAGACUAGUAUGAAAGGCACCACGAGAACUAAACUGUCUCCCUUUUCUAAUCAGUGAACCUAAUCUCCCCGUGAAGAAGCGGGGAUUUUUUAAUAAGACGAGAAGACCCUAUGGAGCUUAAAAUAUCAUAACACCUGACACCCUUCCCCCCCCCCCCAAGAUGAUUAUGUAUUUUUGGUUGGGGUGACCGCGGAGAAAAACCCAUCCUCCGCGAUAAAAGAGCCCCUCUCCCCAACAAGCUACAGCUUUAUGUAUUAGAAAACUAACCCUAUUGACCCAAUAUAUGAUACGC